rnacentral:rRNA from 1 species
GUGGGGAAUCUUGCGCAAUGGGCGAAAGCCUGACGCAGCCAUGCCGCGUGGAUGAUGAAGGUCUUAGGAUUGUAAAAUCCUUUCACCGGUGAAGAUAAUGACUGUAGCCGGAGAAGAAGCCCCGGCUAACUUCGUGCCAGCAGCCGCGGUAAUACGAAGGGGGCUAGCGUUGCUCGGAUUUACUGGGCGUAAAGGGCGCGUAGGCGGACAUUUAAGUCAGGGGUGAAAUCCCGGGGCUCAACCUCGGAACUGCCUUUGAUACUGGGUGUCUUGAGUAUGAGAGAGGUGUGUGGAACUCCGAGUGUAGAGGUGAAAUUCGUAGAUAUUCGGAAGAACACCAGUGGCGAAGGCGACACACUGGCUCAUUACUGACGCUGAGGUGCGAAAGCCAGGGGAGCGAACGGGAUUAGAAACCCGGGUAGUCC